UACGAAGGGGGCUAGCGUUGCUCGGAUUGACUGGGCGUAAAGGGCGCGUAGGCGGUUUGCAUAGUCAGACGUGAAAUUCCUGGGCUUAACCCGGGAAUUGCGUUCGAUACUUCGAGGCUAGAGUGUGGGAGAGGUUGGUGGAAUUCCCAGUGUAGAGGUGAAAUUCGUAGAUAUUGGGAAGAACACCGGUGGCGAAGGCGGCCAACUGGACCACAACUGACGCUGAGGCGCGAAAGCGUGGGGAGCAAACAGG
rnacentral:rRNA from 1 species